CAGCCGCCGCGGGAAUACGAAGGGUGCAAGCGUUGCUCGGAAUUACUGGGCGUAAAGCGUGCGUAGGUGGUGGUUUAAGUCCGUUGUGAAAGCCCUGGGCUCAACCUGGGAAUUGCAGUGGAUACUGGAUCACUAGAGUGUGGUAGAGGAUAGUGGAAUUUCCGGUGUAGCAGUGAAAUGCGUAGAGAUCGGAAGGAACAUCUGUGCGAAGGCGACUAUCUGGGCCAACACUGACACUGAGGCACGAAAGCGUGGGGAGCAAACAGGAUUAGAUACCCGAGUAGUCCCUGUCUCUUAUACA
rnacentral:rRNA from 1 species